GGGUCGGUACCCAAGCGGCGAAGGGAGCAGGCUGUAAACUUGUGACAUUAGAAACGUCGAAGGUUCGAGUCCUUCUCGGCCCA
rnacentral:tRNA from 1 species